UGGGGAAUUUUGGACAAUGGGCGCAAGCCUGAUCCAGCAAUGCCGCGUGCAGGAUGAAGGCCUUCGGGUUGUAAACCGCUUUUGUCAGGGAAGAAACGAGUUUCUCUAAUACAGAGACUUAAUGACGGUACCUGAAGAAUAAGCACCGGCUAACUACGUGCCAGCAGCCGCGGUAAUACGUAGGGUGCGAGCGUUAAUCGGAAUUACUGGGCGUAAAGCGUGCGCAGGCGGUUAUAUAAGACAGAUGUGAAAUCCCCGGGCUCAACCUGGGAACUGCAUUUGUGACUGUAUAGCUAGAGUACGGCAGAGGGGGAUGGAAUUCCGCGUGUAGCAGUGAAAUGCGUAGAUAUGCGGAGGAACACCGAUGGCGAAGGCAAUCCCCUGGGCCUGUACUGACGCUCAUGCACGAAAGCGUGGGGAGCAAACA
rnacentral:rRNA from 1 species